GGGUUGUGAGGUUAAGCGACUAAGCGUACACGGUGGAUGCCCUGGCAGUCAGAGGCGAUGAAGGACGUGCUAAUCUGCGAAAAGCGUCGGUAAGGUGAUAUGAACCGUUAUAACCGGCGAUGUCCGAAUGGGGAAACCCAGUGUGAUUCGUCACACUAUCGUUAACUGAAUACAUAGGUUAACGA
rnacentral:rRNA from 1 species